CGAAAACCUUACCUACCCUUGACAUGUCCGGAAUCCUGCAGAGAUGCGGGAGGUGCCCGAAAGGGAAUCGGAACACAGGUGCUGCAUGGCUGUCGUCAGCUCGUGUCGUGAGAUGUUGGGUUAAGUCCCGCAACGAGCGCAACCCUUAUCAUUAGUUGCUACGCAAGGGCACUCUAAUGAGACUGCCGGUGACAAACCGGAGGAAGGUGGGGAUGACGUCAAGUCCUCAUGGCCCUUAUAGGUGGGGCUACACACGUCAUACAAUGGCCGGUACAGAGGGUAGCCAACCCGCGAGGGGGAGCCAAUCCCACAAAGCCGGUCGUAGUCCGGAUCGCAGUCUGCAACUCGACUGCGUGAAGUCGGAAUCGCUAGUAAUCGCGGAUCAGCAUGUCGCGGUGAAUACGUUCCCGGGUCUU
rnacentral:rRNA from 1 species